AACACAAUUUGUGAGCUUAUUUAGUUGUGCGAGUCCUUAAAGGAGGAUGUACCUAGCUAAUGCGCUAUAUGCCCGUUUUAUGGAUGCUGCAAUUCACAGAAAGUGUAUUAAUAAAAAGAGCAACUAUUUUAAUACAGUAGCUGAAUUCAGCUAUAUAUGGCAAUGUUUUUAAAUCCGGUUUACAUAUAUUUUUAUCAUUAUUUAUGAUGGAUUUCACUCCACUGAAGUGUGCAAAUUUAGCUCAAAACUAAUAAACUUUCAACUUUCACACAUUUAACCAUGUCAAAUGAGAAUUUUCCAUUACUUUCUAUGUUAAUUUUUGAUGAAAUCCAUAUAAAAAGUGUAUUUGAGAAAAAAACGGAAUAUGGGGACUUCAUGUUAUUAAUUUGCAGCAGAAUGUUAUAAUUUACUUCAGAACAUUAGAGUUUGUAGUUACAGAACAAAAGUUCCUAAGCUAAGUAGGUCUUGCCUCUUUAAACUUUUUUACUCUCACUGCAGUAUCAUUGCAGUCUCAAUUAAUUUUGUCUGAUUUGAAUCCAAUUGUUUUGGUUAGUUGUGAUGAAAGUAUUACAAAUGAUUACUUGAGAUUAUUUAAUAUUUAUUCACUAUUGCAAGCACUAGUUAAAAAAUCCACCAGUUUGUGUUCCAGGAACACCAACUUUGGUCAAUGGCUGGUACCUGUUUGACCAGUGAGUGACAAAAUAUGUUUUAUGAUGAAAUAAUUCUAUCUAGCCACUGCAAGUCUUUGUCAUUUACAGGUUUCCAUCAGAAACUAAUAUUGGUGAGCCAGGAACAUCAGCAUCAGAUGCAAUUGAGGAAGAAAUUGGUGAGGGUGUAACCUUACAUAAAGUUUCAUCAGAAGAGGCGGAUGUACUCAUGCCCUUGUUCCCUGAAGAACAGAAGACAGAAGCAGGUACAAAGAAAAGAGGGAAGAAAAGGAAAUCAAAUGAGGCUGUAACCUUACAUAAAGUUUCAUCAGAAGAGGCAGAGUUACUCAUGCCCUUGUUCCCUGAAGUACAGAAGACAGAAGGUAAAUAUGAAGCUGGAAAUAUUGGUUACAUGGUUUGUUAGUGACUCAAUAUGGAAUAUACAGAGUCCUUUAAGUGAACUUACCAGGGGAGACAUCACUAAGAAACCAUGUAACCAAUUUACUUCACUGAUGACCUUUUGAAAUUACAAAUAACUAUUUACAGAUACAUAUUAAGUACUUGAAAGUAAGCUCUCUGGUAUAAUUUAGAAAUGCCUUAAUUUACUUUUCUGCUCACAUUUGGUUUCGGAAAAAAUAGUUUAAUAACAAAAUAUUGAUAACUAUGAGAGAGAAAACAACACAUUUUGAAGCUGUUAUCGUCUAAAUAUAGCAAA